AUCAUAAAAUCAAAUAUCAACGUUUCAAUAAAAUUCCAAUCUUCAAACCUAAUUAUGAUAAUCGAACAACACUAGAUUCAUUUUUAAAAAACCUAAAUCGUCGUCUCAGAUCCUUUUCUUGAAGAUUAUUUCAAAAUCGAUAAAUUUUAGCAGAUCAAAAUUGAAGAUAAUUUCGUCCUUUAGAAGCGAUUUGGAAGAUGACAACAUGUUUUUGUCAUUUAAUUUGAAUUACUCUCAGUCCCUCAGAAAAAAUAGAGAGAUAAACUCUUUAAACUCUUCUUCUUUUUCAUCAAAUCUGAAGAUCUAGAGAAAUAAUUUUUGUUUUGGUUAAUGGAAAAUGGAGGUCACAGACAGAUUGCGAAGCAUGGAUCUAACGCAUCAUGAGAAGAUGUCAUUUGUUCUGCUUAUAUUUCCCGUCGAAUCUGCUCAUAGAGUCGUUUCUUAUCUAUGAGAUAUUGGACUCCUUUCAUUCAAAAAUAAAUGUACUAGCCCUGGUGAAUUAAGGAGGAUUUCUAGUGUUUCUUAGGAGAAAUCUGUAGCACAGUUUAAGGAUAGUGAAUCUGACAGUGGUGGAGAAUGCAAGAAGGUUUAGAGGAAGUUUGUUGGAAACUUCUACUAAGGCAAGGGAUUCCGGGCCUGCAUUGUUUAGGUUGCAUGUGGCCGAGGACUCCAUCAAAGUUGAAAUUAUAUUGGUACUGAGGACUAGUCCCAGUGAAGUCGUCGAAUGUAAACACUCUUAAAUUAUCUUAGGGUAAUGAGGAGACUAAUCCCAAUACAGAAUACAAUUAUCUGGAGAACUCUACUCUUUUUGGGAGGAUUCCUUGCUUUUAUAGGCAAAGUCCUACAUGUGGAUACCGUACACGUGUACCUUAAUGCAUUUUCUAGUAAGUCUUCCAUUAUUAGCCGUACACAUGUAUUAUCACAUCUGGGACUAUUUGAGCACCCAUCAGUUAUUAUCUUCAGGGCAGCCUCCCUCUGGUACAACCCACAAGCGCACAUGGCGACCCCG